rnacentral:lncRNA from 1 species
GUGGAAGAAGGUGAAUAAAAGGUAACUUGAAUUACCAUAAAAGCAGCCCCACUAACCCAGCCUGCUUUGAUCCAUUAUCGUUAUGACAUAUUAUUUUUUUUUUCAAACAAGAAUGUGUCAUAAGUACAUGGAUUUCCCAUCCGUACAAUCAUUUUCUAUGUUCAGUGGACUGGGAAAAUUAGGUUAAAUCUUUAAUUUGGCAGUAAAAUUAGAAAG